CGAUCAAGAAGGGGGAAGCAAGGGGGAAACCCUAAAUUCUGCAAAUUAGCAAAAAUUGAAAGGGAAAUCAAGGCCAAAUCACAUGCAUGAACUCGAAACCUUAACUAUCUAAGCUAGUACAACAAGCGGCGUUAAGGAAGAAAGUUCGAGUCAAGUGAAGCAACAAGGGAAUCAAGACCGAGGUAAAUCUCAUGCCUAGCUAUCAAGCUUUGCCCGGUUCGAACACGCCUUAAGCCCGUCAAGCGUUCCGCAUUAUGUAUAAAGUCAAUGUCAAUUACUUUGUCACUUAUGUCUAUGUCUAGUAGUUAAACCUAGUUUCUA